AAAUAGAUUUAAGAAAUCUUGCCAGAUAGAAAAAAUCAAAUGUGUUAAUGCUCUAAAAAGCAACUUAUAUGUCUGCAAAUCAGAAAUCAGGUGAGUAGAAUUAGAGAUGUGUAAUUGCUGUAAAUGAAAAUAUUUGUAAUACAUUGGGGUCAUAUUGGUUUUUUAUAAAGAAAUUUUGUUCAUGGGUAUUACAAUAUUAAAACCAAAGUACCAAGUGCUAAAUAAUUUUUCUGUUGAAUGCUAGGAAAGACAAGAGUUGAUGAUACUGUAGAAUAAAAACUACUGUAAACCUAUAAAGACCUAAAAUAGGAUUCGCAAUUUAAUAGCAGUAGCAACAUGGAGAAAUAGUCGAUAUUGCUUUAGGAAAUUCAUGAUAAAAACAUCACAUUGAAAAAAAAAAAGACAACGCUGAAAAGUUUGUUGCUAAAUAGCUUUUGUUCCUCUGUAUCCAUUCAUAUUGGUAGAGAAAGAUUUUGAAAAAGUUCUAUUUGUACUUAUAGUUUAUGUAUUAUUUUUUUUUGCAUUGGGUUAUGUUAAAUGUUUUUCCUGCAGCAGUGUGAUUAAAUGAUCACCAUAUUUAAUUCAUAUAACUUUAUUUUAAUGAAAUUAUAUUUACUUUUUUGUCUCAUGUUGUUAAGCAUUUUGUUUGUUGUUGAAAUGUAAAUAACUUCUUAUUACCAUAAUUAAAGAACAUAGGGGAGAGAGAGAAAAGAAAGUGCAGAAAUCUGGUUUUGUAGAAUUCAUGUACAUUCCAAACAGAAAAAGAGAAAUCAUAUCCUUAUUAUGCAUACAAGAAAAAAAUUCUUUAUAUUGAUUGUAGCCAGGAGAUAAAUGCAAUACAUUGCCUAAGGUGGACCUUUUUCAUUGCGAGAGAAAUUAACCUGUGAUUGUCGGAGUCCUAAGCAUUCCAUGUGUAUUUUUUGUACCGUACAUUGUUACGCCAUUUUGAAAUUGAAACAUUAAUAAAUACCUGUUUGAUUCUACAGAGUAUGGAGUAUUCAGAUAAUUUUUACCUGGUACAUUGUAUCUUCAAAAGUCAGAAAAAUGCAAAGGUUUUGAUCUAUUCAUAGAACAAUUUGAAAAUUGAUGUGCUGAAUAUGAAAUUAUAGAUAUAUACAAUUGUGUGUUUCAUUAUAUACCUUUUAACAUAUAUAUAUUUCAUAAUAUUCCUAAUGGUAAAUUUCCUGGAUACUAUAACAAGGUGUUCAUGGAACUAUAUAUGUAUAAUUCAUUUACUCCAGGACUUAUAUUUUGGUAAAAUAAAUUGUAAA
rnacentral:misc_RNA from 1 species